CCCAUCCAAGUACUAACCAGGCCCGACCCUGCUUAGCUUCCUAGAUCAGGUGAGACUGGGCACUUUCAGGGUGGUAUGACUGUAGAC
rnacentral:sRNA from 1 species